rnacentral:rRNA from 1 species
UACGUAGGGUGCAAGCGUUGUCCGGAAUCAUUGGGCGUAAAGCGCGUGUAGGCGGCCCGGUAAGUCCGCUGUGAAAGUCCAGGGCUCAACCCUGGAAUGCCGGUGGAUACUGUCGGGCUCGAGUCCGGAAGAGGCGAGUGGAAUUCCUGGUGUAGCGGUGAAAUGCGCAGAUAUCAGGAGGAACACCAAUUGCGAAGGCAGCUCGCUGGGACGUUACUGACGCUGAGACGCGAAAGCGUGGGGAGCAAACAGG